GCUUUUUUGUGCAACUGUAUUUGGUCCAGUUCUAGAUAAAUUCUACUUCUUCAUUAAGUUUCUGAGAUAGAAUGUGGAAUGGGUUAAUAAUUAUGUUCAUGAAAACUGGGACAAACAUUAACACAUGUUUUCACAUAAUUAUAGAUCCAAAGGGUUAAGGGGUUGGUUCAUUAAGGACUAUGUGCUAUGCACAAUUUCAAUUUCCA
rnacentral:misc_RNA from 1 species